AAUUAGACACAGGUGUGCAGAACAUUCAGGAAGGGGGCGUGGCCAGAUGAAUCAAAGAUGAGCAAAAACAGGAGGCAAGAGAGUGAGUGUCAGAUGGGCAU